GAACAAUGAAGCGUGAGCUGGAGGGGAGCGAGCGGGCCGCCGGGAGCGCACUGUGUACAAACAGAGGCGGCGUGCGUAGAGGGAGGUAGGGAGAGAGACAAACACAGAGCUAGAGAAAUUGAAAGAGAAACAUUCUCGAAGGCAAAGAGUUGAAAGGUGAAUCUACUAAGAAAAGAAUAACAGAGUGCAAUUAGCCAUGGAACUACAUCUCCAUCUGCCUCCUUUAAAGGAUGAGUCCUUUAAAGAGCCUUUGGAAGGAAUUGGGCCAUGAGAAGAGCCCUCAUGAAUGGGAUUAGUUCCCUUAUAAGAAGAGACACCAAGGAAGUGAUCUUUCUCUGCCCUCUGCUAUGUGAAGACAAGGUCAUCUGCAGUUUUUUGUUGUUGUUGAUGAUCUUCCUGUCAUAGACAAUGCUGUAACAAACAGACUAAUUGUUCACUGUUGACAUAUAGAAGUACUACUGAUUGGCCAGACAUAGUGGCUCAUGCCUGGAAUCCCAGCACUUUGGGAGGCCAAGGCAGGUGGAUCACUUGAGCCCAGA
rnacentral:lncRNA from 1 species